GACGAACGCUGGCGGCGUGCCUAAUACAUGCAAGUAGAACGCACAGUUUAUACCGUAGCUUGCUACACCAUAAACUGUGAGUUGCGAACGGGUGAGUAACGCGUAGGUAACCUGCCUGGUAGCGGGGGAUAACUAUUGGAAACGAUAGCUAAUACCGCAUAAUAUUGAUUAUUGCAUGAUAAUUUAUUGAAAGAUGCUAUUGCAUCACUACCAGAUGGACCUGCGUUGUAUUAGCUAGUAGGUGAGGUAACGGCUCACCUAGGCGACGAUACAUAGCCGACCUGAGAGGGUGAUCGGCCACACUGGGACUGAGACACGGCCCAGACUCCUACGGGAGGCAGCAGUAGGGAAUCUUCGGCAAUGGACGAAAGUCUGACCGAGCAACGCCGCGUGAGUGAAGAAGGUUGUCGGAUCGUAAAGCUCUGUUGUAAGAGAAGAACGGGUGUGAGAGUGGAAAGUUCACACUGUGACGGUAUCUUACCAGAAAGGGACGGCUAACUACGUG
rnacentral:rRNA from 1 species